rnacentral:tRNA from 1 species
GGGGGUGUAGCUCAGCGGUAGAGCACCGGUCUUAUAAACCGUUUUCCCUAGAUAAGGGGGAGGUCGCGGGUUCGAGUCCCGCCGCCCCUACCA